GUCUACGGCCAUACCUCCCUGAACAUGCCCAAUCUCGUCUGAUCUCAAAAGCUAAACAGGGUUGGGCCUGGUUAGUACUUGGAAGGGAGACAACUUAUAUACCCCAGCAAAAUAUUUCAGGCAAUAUAAAAA
rnacentral:rRNA from 1 species